GCCCCUAUGGCGUAGUGGUAGCGCGUGUCACUUGUAUAAACUUACAAAGAGAUGACAAGGUCUCUCGUUCGAUCCGGGAUGGGGGCA